UACGAAGGGUGCAAGCGUUACUCGGAAUUACUGGGCGUAAAGGGUGCGUAGGCGGUUCGUUAAGUCUGUCGUGAAAUCCCCGAGCUCAACCUGGGAAUGGCGAUGGAUACUGGCGAGCUAGAGUGUGUCAGAGGAUGGUGGAAUUCCCGGUGUAGCGGUGAAAUGCGUAGAGAUCGGGAGGAACAUCAGUGGCGAAGGCGGCCAUCUGGGACAACACUGACGCUGAAGCACGAAAGCGUGGGGAGCAAACAGG
rnacentral:rRNA from 1 species